rnacentral:misc_RNA from 1 species
GAAAUGCGAUAAGUAGUGUGAAUUGCAGAUUUCAGUGAAUCAUCGAAUCUUUGAACGCACAUUGCGCCCUUUGGUAUUCCGAAGGGCAUGCCUGUCUGAGGUCAAGCUGUAAAAUAAAUCAAUCAAACCUUGGUUUGGUAUUGGGAGAAGUGGUUUUGCCUCUCUCCUUUAAGCUAUUGGCGACGCUAUUUCAGCUUGUAAGACGUAGUAAGUAAUUUCUCGUUAAAGCAACUGUAUGGCUGUCUGCCAAAUGAACGAUUUAUUUUACAGCUUGACCUCAGAUCAGGUAGGGAUACCCCCUGAACUUAA